rnacentral:rRNA from 1 species
AGUGAACGCUGGCGGUAGGCUUAACACAUGCAAGUCGAACGGCAGCACAGUAACAGGUUGCUAUGACGGGUGACGAGUGGAGGACGGGUGAGGAAUACUUCCCAAUCUAUUUUUUCGUGGGGAAUAAAGUAGGGCAACUUACGUUAAUACCGCAUUCUUCCAACGGGUGGAAGCAGGGGAUCUUCCGGCUUUGCGCGAAUGAAUGGCCCGAUGUCGGAUUAGUUAGUUGGCGGGGUAAAGGCCCACCAAGGCGACGAACCGUAGCUGGUCUGAGAGGAUGAUCAGCCACACUGGAACUGAGACACGGUCCAGACUCCUACGGGAGGCAGCAGUGGGGAAUAUUGGACAAUGGGCGGAAGCCUGAUCCAGCCAUGCCGCGUGGGUGAAGAAGGCCUUCGGGUUGUAAAGCCCUUUUGUUGGGGAAGAAAAGCUGCAGGAGAAUACCCGGUUGUUCUGACGGUACCUAAAGAAUAAGCACCGGCUAACUUCGUG